GAAUUUCAAAUUUAAAAUGGAAUUCCGUUUCCCCCCUUUUUCAAUUCCAAUCUCCCCUCUAUAUAAACCCCUCUCCAGUCUUUAAUCAAGAGGGGACGAAUAUAUACAAUAUUGAAGCAAAAAUCGAGGUAGAAAUACUAUUAUUGUUAACCCAUCAAUUUUUUCUUUAAGACACUCUUUCCGUAAGUUUUCUUCGAAGCUUUGCCGGAAUCACUUGGAAUUCCUUUGGAGAAGUGGAAGUUGCUGCUUUCUCGUUCGUUUCGCUGCCCGGAAGAAGGU
rnacentral:lncRNA from 1 species